AAAUUGUGAAUGAAAACCAACUUUAAAUUCAGUGGUGAUUUAGAUUGAGACAUAAUUACAUUUGUAUUAAUCAAAAUACUUGUUCUUAAAGGAAUUAUUAUUUAUGGAAUUAGACUGGACUGAAGACAAAAGCUGAGUUCAAGUGGGAAAAAUAAUAAUGGUGUCAUAAUCAUGAUGGAGAUUAAAAUCUUGGAAUAUCUUACAGCUGAUGAAUGCUUAGCUGUUAUUCAUCGAAAUGCAAGUUUGAAUCUAC